rnacentral:rRNA from 1 species
GACGAACGCUGGCGGCGUGCUUAACACAUGCAAGUCGAACGGAAAGGCCCUGCUUUUGUGGUGUUCUCGAGUGGCGAACGGGUGAGUAACACGUGAGUAACCUGCCCUUGACUUUGGGAUAACUUCAGGAAACUGGGGCUAAUACCGGAUAGGAGCUCCUGCUGCAUGGUGGGGGUUGGAAAGUUUCGGCGGUUGGGGAUGGACUCGCGGCUUAUCAGCUUGUUGGUGGGGUAGUGGCUUACCAAGGCUUUGACGGGUAGCCGGCCUGAGAGGGUGACCGGCCACAUUGGGACUGAGAGACGGCCCAGACUGCUACGGGAGGCAGCAGUGGGGAAUAUUGCAGAAUGGGCGGAAGCCUGAUGCAGAAACGCCGCGUGCGGGAUGACGGCCUUCGGGUUGUAAACCGCUUUCGCCUGUGACGAAGCGUGAGUGACGGUAAUGGGUAAAGAAGCACCGGCUAACUACGUG